GGGGGCGAUCGGUAUCGACCGUGAGGACCCGGUGGCAGGGAAGGAUGCCGAGGACGUCAGUGACCUCGUUAAAUAUCUGGCAAAAAAUAAUUGCCAAUGAACCGGCGUAUGCUCUCGCAGCCUAAAUAGUGCUCCGAGCGCGUUGCGUGCCAAGCUUGCAGGUACGUAAGGCGAAACACUCACAAGCUGGCGGGGAGCUGCUUCUCAGGGCUUCGCGCGAGACCAAAACUGAGAAUCGUGUUUGCGGCGUGUGCCGCGUGAUGGCGCAAACACCAAACCAAACGCGCGGCUAAGCAUCUAGAUGCCCUUCCACUAUCUUGACGGCACGCGGGUUCGAUUCCCGCCGCCUCCACCA
rnacentral:tmRNA from 1 species